UACGGAGGGUGCGAACGUUAAUCGGAAUUACUGGGCGUAAAGCGCACGUAGGCGGCUUUGUAAGUUAGAGGUGAAAGCCCGGGGCUCAACUCCGGAACUGCCUUUAAGACUGCAUCGCUUGAAUCCGGGAGAGGUGAGUGGAAUUCCGAGUGUAGAGGUGAAAUUCGUAGAUAUUCGGAAGAACACCAGUGGCGAAGGCGGCUCACUGGACCGGUAUUGACGCUGAGGUGCGAAAGCGUGGGGAGCAAACAGG
rnacentral:rRNA from 1 species